rnacentral:rRNA from 1 species
AUGGCAGAUCUUCCUCCUGGGCGGCGGCGGCGACGACGACGAGGCUGCGGAAGAGACGUCUUCUCUUCCAGCACCGGACAAUGGCGAGCUGCUCCGCUGUCAUCAGGGUUGGCUUCCUUCUCCUGGCGCCAGUAUGUGCAUGGCUGCUUGUACGGGAUGACAGCUUGCAGGGAGAAGCUACGUGUGCUCGACCUUCGGACGAUGGAGUUCUCACUCCUCCACCUCCCGCCUGAAGCCAAAGGUUAUGCUUAUGUGUAUGCAGACGUCGUGGAGGCAGGGGAGGGCAUCACUGGGUUGUUUGUGCGACCAAGGGGGACACUUGACAUCAGAUAUUUCACUAGGCGAAACAAUGGUGGGAGUUCCAGCCAGUGGCAGUUGGAGAAGAAUAUCUCACUGGAUUCUUCUCAAUGGCAGUCAGUGGGUCCACCAAGGCCGAACUGGUUCCUGCGUCACUCCGGAAGCCCAUCGCUUGAUGCUGGCCUUUUCUCACUGGACGUCAAGACAUUCCAGCUUGAGAGGGUGCUUGGAUCAGAGUUUAGCAUGUUUUACCCAUGGCCAUAUACCAACUUUCCACCAUUGCUGUCGACACCAACAAUAUCAAGUGUUACUCAGGAAGGUGAUGAGAAGGAGAUGCCGGAACAAGGUGCUGAGAUGCUGCAAGAUGACGAGCCCGCAGGUAACCUUCACGACGAGCACACUGCUGAUGACGCGAGUGCUGGAGGCCAGGUCGGUGUAUCGAGGGCUCGAGAUGGCGCUGAUUGA